CUGUGGGACCUAGAAGAAGAAAGCUGGCUAGAUUUGGAGAGAGACUCCACAAUUCAAAGGAGAGGCCAUAUAUUGGAGGGGGCAGAUCCUAGAGGACUCUGACCAAAUCCCCAAAAAUGCUUCAGAAUGGAAACCUAAUGGGAAAACUGUGCACUGUCAGUAACUUGGGGAUAUAUUUCUGAAUAAAAUGUACUGAUUGCAUUUAAGUCAAGCCGAAAUAGAAAGAGGUUAGAGGUCUCCUGGUAUUUGUGAGUGAAGUUUGGGAACCACACCCUAAGAGUCACAGUCUAGCCCUG